GGGCAGGAAUGGAGAAUGCCAAGCUGUGUUUAAGCUGCCUAGAAAUGACAAGAGAAAUCUUGCGCUUACUAAUCAUCUGAAAUCUCACCAAAAGGAAGAAAACAUGACUGACGAUAAGGAGAACAGGAGGGAUGAGAGAAAACAGGAUGAUGAGAGCAGGACCCUGGAUCCUGGUCUUAUUGAGAAACUAAAAAGCGAGCUAAGUGUACCACUUCAAAAAACAAGAUCAAAGGCUACUGCAGAAGAUGGGGUAUCUAAGUUAGCAC